CUCAAGUGUGGAUCGUUGCCUACUGUUCGCGAUCCAACGUCACCUCCAGAAGAAGAAUGAGAGUCAUUCCAUCAGACCCACGAGACAAAAGAGGUCAGUAUCAUCACGUCCAUAACCACAGGUCGUGCAGCACCAUGGGAAUCAUCACAUGCAAUCUUCACAAGGCAGCAGAUCUGGAGAGGAAAACAGACCAACUGCUGAGACAAUGCAGCUGUGCAGAAGGACCCCCGAACCCUCCAGAGAUCUGCUCUAAAUCACAGUCACUUCACAGAGAAGCCUGACUCUCUUCCAGAACUUUAUUCUCACACUCACUUCCACAAAAGUGCCAUAAGGGAACACUGAUCCGACAGUGUAAGGAGAGGGAUUUCACUGCCCCAUCAGCCCCGCAGUGACCUUAGAGUGCUUGUGUUCUACCGAUGCACCUGGAGGCUGUUCUGUAGGAAAGCAGUGGAAGUGUGGAGGAACAAAAUGAGCAAAGCAGUAUGAACAGACUUAAAAGUCCAGAGGAUACAAUAAUGAAAGUGAGAAGCCCUUUGGGAGGGCAACAUAUAUUCUGAUACAAGGGUUGGAGGUGCUUCAUAGCAUGUUGAAUUUCACAGAAAAGUGCGGUGAAACAGCUGGACACUGAACGAAAUUCAAUAAGGUUCUGCUGCACUAUAAAGUAGCCUACUAUAAAGGUGGUUUUUACAAUGAAUGUGACAUGUAAAUUUGUGACUACAGUAAAUCAAAAAAGCUUUGUUAACUGCAGUAAAAUAACUUCACAUAUU